AGUCCCACUUGCACCCUUCUCCCCUCCAACAACUACACAGAUGUGGUCCUCUGGUGCUCCUGGGAAGGAGGUUAUCCUCCAGCUUCUCUUUACUGGUCCUCUCCUCUCAUCAGUCCAAAUGGAGUUGAACCGUCCCUCAUCAAUGCCACCCUGGUUCAUCCUGGAUCCAGAACUCCACACAACUCCACCUUCACCUGCCAUGGAUCUCAUGUGGCAUCACCAGCCUCCUACAGCUGCAGCACAACCGCAUUGUUGCCUUCUGGUGAACCCCAGUGCUACACAUAUGCCACACGGAAUAAUGAGUAUCUGAUGCUAUCUUGCUCCUGGGAAGGGGGAUUCCCACGGGCUCUGCUCUGGUGGAGUUUGAAUAAUGGGUCCUUGCUCGGCAGCUCAGAGGAGAAUGCUAACAUCCUCAUCCUCAAGUCCAGUGCCACAUAUAGUGGGAAGGCUUUUGUGUGCCACGCCAAGCACCCACUGUCGUCUGCCAGCAAGAAAUGUGUAUUGAGAUUGGAGGCCCCAGUUCUGGUGACGCAGCGUAGCCUGGUAUCAGUCUAUGAAGGCAAUGAUAUCCAGCUGUCGUGCAUCCUGAAGGCCAACAACCCUGUCACUGAGAUCAUCUGGUUCAACAACCAUAAGAAGCAGGUGGGCAACGCUCCUAGCAAGUAUCUGCUGUACGGCGAGGCCACCUGGUCUAACCUGACGGUCCGAGAGGCAGAUGGAAUGCAGGACAGCGGCCAGUACUGGUGUUCAGCCAGCAAUGCUGUGGGGGGCGCUGAGAUCCCCAUCACAGUUCUCAUCAAGAGAUACCCGGUUCCCCCAAACGUGACCAUCAGUAAGAUCAAAUACAGCAGCCAACAGCGCACAGAAGUAGACUUGCAGUGGGCUGUCAAGGAGACAGGCAACCUGACCGGGUUCAUCGUGGAGCGGUUGAAAACACAAGAACUGCAACUCAAAGUGAAUGACACCUUUUCCUGGGUGCAGCUGGUCACUGGUAUCCAGCCAGAUGUUCGCUACCAUAGACUGGUUGGACUGGACCCCACCUCCAUCUAUGUCUUCCGCAUUCUGGCCAUCAAUCACCGCACCCUGGGAUACCCUUCAGAAGUCAAGACUCCAGGUGAGAUGACUAAGCGGUUGCAAUGAUAUUCACACUUAUUAAAGGAUCACUCAUACAGCAU
rnacentral:lncRNA from 1 species